CCCAUCUCUUAUCACAUUGGAGGGCACAGAAAGCGUACGUGUUACAUGCAUGGUGUGGACGUUUCCCAUGUCAUAAUCUCAGAUGCAUAAAUCCCAGCGAAGGGUGAGCGCACGGCAGGCACCUGCAGCAUGGGGUUCACGUUCUAGAAGGUUCCGUCUGACUCCCACCCUGCCCUUCCCUUCACUGGCCGAGUAAACUUGCAGAAGUUACUUAACGCUUGACCUAGAAGAGCCUCCUCUCACCUGAAGGGAUAGUCGGGAUUGUAAGGAAAGGAAUCUCACAGGGCUUCUCUGAGGAGACAAGUCACUGCAUUGGGCUUAGACGUUCCAUCCAUGGCAAGAUUUCUGACUUUGCCCUCUGGAGCCUGAGGGGUAGAAUGAGGAUAGUGAGGUUCUUCAGAGGCAAUUACGAGGUCACAGCGCAGAAACGGCAAGAAAUAUCUCUUUGUUCUACGGUAACAGGUCAGGACAACUACAGAUGUGAAGGCUGGGAGGGGGCCUACUUCCCCCUGAGGUCCCCAAAGGUAUUUGUCUCCAUCCAGAAACUGAGGGGCAUUUGUCUCUAUCCAGGAUUUGGGGGGCAUCCUUCUCCAUCCAGGGCUGGAGUGUGUCCUUCUCCAUCCAGGAUGGGGGGACAUCCUUCUCCAUCCAUGAUUCAGGGUUCAUCCUUCUCUAUCCAGGACUGGGGUUCAUCCUUCUCCAUCCAGGACUGAGGGUCAUCCUUCUUCAUGCAGUACCUGAGGGACAUCCUUCUCCAUCCAGGAUCUGAGGACGUCCUUCUCUGUACUCCCUUGGGACUGCACCCUUUCCUGUGCCGUCCUUCAGAAUGCCAGGCUGUCACUUGUUGUGGAUUGAAUUCUAGCAUCUUAUCUCUAUUCUAGGUGAGUCCCUUCACAUUUAUAGGGAUUUACCAUUUAAUCACUG
rnacentral:lncRNA from 1 species